AACGGGACAUUGGAUGUGUACGCGCGCGCGUUUGUGUGUGUGUGUCUAUGUGUCUGUGCUAUUGGAGUGCCCAAAAUAAUGGGACAAAUUAAUUAUUGCUAGCAAUUGAAGCCAAAAUUAAGAAGAAAAAAAUUUUUAACAUAUACAAAAACAAAGUGAAAAAGUGUAGCAUAUGGUCUGAUAACUGUCAAGUUUGCCGCUAACGGGAAAAACAUAUCAAAGAAAAGGGAUUAUUUUGGGACUGAAAGAUUCACUUUGAAAGUGCUUAAGAACAGAAAAGGCAAAAACUGCAAAACUUCUCCCCGGGCCAACUGACACAGGGAGAGCGAGAAGCAGAGAGCGACAGGAGGCAAAUCGAACAAAAAUCGAAACAAUCCAAUCGGAACACAAAUCUUGAAACCAAAGUCCAUUGCGGUUCCGCCAAUUAAUAUUGAUGUCGUCGCAUCAUCGAAUCAGUGGCAAUCAAGGCUAGGCGGUAGGAGGUGGAAAACUGUGCACAGUUGUGAGUUUCCACAAAUAUGCGCCAGCAAACAGAAUCAGAAUCGUCGGACGAUGCUAUAAUGAGCCAUAUCAGCGUGCAAAUAUUAUCCGCGACAGAACAGCCGACAGGGGAGUGAGUGGGCCAAAACAAUGAGCAGCAGCAACAGCAACGGCAGCAGGAAAAUUAUCAUCAGGAAAAGCAGCUCUUGAGUAAAUAGAAAAUCAACGAGCAAAAUCAAUACGAAAUCAAUACAAAUACGUGAGAAGGUCUACAUGCAUAUAUAGAAGAUAGAGACAGA